UGACCUCGUGAUCCACCCGCCUCAGCCUCCCAAAGUGCUGGGAUUACAGGCGUGAGCCACUGCGCCCAGCUAAUUAUUGUAUAUUUAGUGGAGACGGUGUUUCACCAUGUUGACCACGAUGGUCUCGAUCUCUUGACCUCGUGAUCCACCCGCCUCGGCCUCCCAAAGUGCUGGGAUUACAGGCGUGAGCCACCGCGCCCGGCCAUUUCCAAUAUUCUUAAUUGCUCUUUAUGUGUCCAGGUUUCUAACUGGUAUCAUUUCUCUUUUUGCAUUGUUGAUGGUAUAGGCGACAAAUUCUCUCAGCUUCCAUUUGCCUGAAAAAGUCUUUCAUCUUCAUUUCUAAACAAUACUUUUGCUAGACAAAGAAUGGGUCUCACUUUGUCACCCAGGUUGGAGUGCAGAGGCAAGAUCUCAGCUCACUGCAGCCUCGAACUCUUGGGCUCAAGCAACCCUCCUGCCUCAGUCUCCUCAGUAACUGGGACUACAGGUGUGUGCCACCAUGCUGGGCUAGUUUCUGUUUUUAAGUUUUAGUUUGUUGCCCAGGCUGGUCUCAAACUCCAGGACUCAAGUGAUCCUACCACCUCAGCCUCCCAAAGUUUUGCGAUUACAGACAUGAACCACGGUGCCCAGCCAGAAUCCUUUAUUGUAACUUAAACAGUGAGCAUGAAAUAGCCUGGGCGACUUAGAGGACUGAGCGCCAUCACAGCUGAAUGCAGGAAUUAGGCACUCUGGGGUAGCUUAAACCUCCACUCCCAUCUACUGCUCUGGUCUUUGCCAAAGGUGGGUCCGCUGGUAAACUCAUAGGACGUUUGUUGCCUUUGGCUACACAUUUAGAGAAAUUACUUCCCUCCAAAUGUUCAUGGUCUGGUUGAAAUAGUAUAUCUAGUGCCUGCCUCCCAACUAAGGAGGCAAAAUGGUCGUGUUCUAUCUAUCAGUAUACUGGUACAGCCAGGAAGCCAGAAAAUGAACAAAACUGGCCUGUGGGUUGCUUCAUUUGCAGACUAAAGGAAUGGCUGAGGAAUCAAUCCAGUGGUGGUACUCUAGCUCUAGCUUUCAAACGUGGCCGUUACAGUGGCUCCUGCUUCCUCGUUCUCUAGGAACUAACUUCUAGCCUCCUUUGGAGCAUGGUUCUUAAGGUUCCCAUUGGGUCUGGAAUCCUGCAAAAUCUUUCCAAUAAAUGUAUUUGCUUAAGUUGGGGUCUACUUCUUGGAACCUAAGAACCCUAACUAAUACAGUGGUUAACUGUGGGCUGUAGUAAAUUGAAUGCUCCUGCUCCUGUUCUGUCAAUGCUAUGCCUGAUUUUGUUUCUAAAGUGAAAAAUUAUCAUUAAUAACCCCCAGUUUUCAUGAGCUCUCUAAGGAAUCUGGCUAAUACAGUCCUCUCUCCCUGUUAACCACUGGCAAUAGUAUUUCGAUGCAUCUGCUUCCCAGCUUGAUGUCAUAAUGAAGUGCAAUGGAAUUUAAACCGAUGGCCUAAACUAGAGCUAAAUAUUAUAAUUACCCAUGACAUUGGUAAUAUAUUGAUUAGGGAGACUAGGAACAUGGAAGACAAGGUGUGGGUUAAGUAAAUAAAACCAACCAAGGAAUCGAGAAAUGUAAGUUA
ensembl:lncRNA